rnacentral:rRNA from 1 species
GACGAACGCUGGCGGCGUGCUUAACACAUGCAAGUCGAACGGAAAGGCCUGCUUUCCCUUGUGGAUUGCGGUUACUCGAGUGGCGAACGGGUGAGUAACACGUGAGUGAUCUGCCCCCAACUUGGGUAUAAGCCUGGGAAACUGGGUCUAAUUCCCGAUAGGACUGCAGGGUGGUGCCUGUGGUGGAAAACGAUUUUCUAGUGGCUGGGGAUGAGCUCGCGGCCUAUCAGCUUGUUGGUGGGGUAAUGGCCUACCAAGGCGGCGACGGGUAGCCGGCCUGGGAGGGUGGACGGCCACAUUGGGACUGAGAUACGGCCCAGACUCCUACGGGAGGCAGCAGUGGGGAAUAUUGCACAAUGGGCGGAAGCCUGAUGCAGCGACGCCGCGUGGGGGAUGACGGCCUUCGGGUUGUAAACUCCUUUCGACCGCGAGGAAGCCACCUGGUUGGAAGGGUGGUGACGGUAGUGGUAGAAGAAGCACCGGCUAACUACGUG